rnacentral:sRNA from 1 species
GUUUUUGUGUUUUUUUU